UCCCAGGUGGCUCAGUGAUAAAGAAUCUGCCUGCAAUGCAGAAGACCCAGGUUCGAUUCCUGGGUCAGGAA
rnacentral:tRNA from 1 species